GAAACUUUGUCCCCCAGUACAGGAAAGGCUCCAACCAUACUGGGAAGGAAGACAAGCCCUUGUGAGAUCACUAUGCAACAGGCACUUUCUUAGCCCUUUGUAUUCUCUGUGUAAUCUUUGCCCCUGGUUCUGCAAGGUAUGCAAACAGCUUCAGAAAAAUGACUGACCUGGGAUAUCAUGGACAGAUUUCAUACAUCGGGUAGAAGGUUGGAGUUGAUGACAGUUGAGCUACCUCCUGGCUGGGAGAUUCGAACAAAUUUCUACCCCCAUCUGCAGCGAUGAGUUGCAUCCUCCACACCAAGACCUCCAGAGGCCUCCCAGAGUGGUGGGCUUUGGGGGGAAACGGGAAGCAGCAGGCCGGGCCACA